AGAUACCAGACGUUCAAAGGAAAUGUCUUUUUUAGUUUAUCUGGUUGUUGCAGUUGUUGUAAUCAUUACUGGUGUUAUUCUGGGAUUUAUCUACAAGAUGAAAAGUCACAGUUGCUGUUCAAGGUCAGAAACAUCUGGACUAUCUGUGAGUGAGACUCACGGCUCUUUGGAUGAAGAUGUCCAAGAUGAUUCUUACACAAACCUUCAGCAUCCAACAAAUGAUGUCUACCAAACUAUCACCUCAGAUCACCCUCAGCAUGACAUCACUACAAAUUAAGAAUAUUAAGUGUCUGUUGUUGUGAUUAUUCAGCCAGAAGAACAGAAGCUGUCAGCCUUGAUAAUCAAACUCUUUUAUUUCUGACAAUAUUUAAACAUUUUGAAACAUGUAAAACUGCAGGUGACACAUGAGCAGUAUUGCUCUGAUACAAAUCUUUUUGGCUUGAAUUGUGAUAUGACUCAACUUUCACACUGGACACAUGUUUUACAAUAAUUGAGG